AGUGAACGCUGGCGGUAGGCCUAACACAUGCGAGUCGAACGGCAGCACAGUAAGAGCUUGCUCUUACGAGUGGCGAGUGGCGGACGGGUGAGGAAUACAUCGGAAUCUACUUUUUCGUGGGGGAUAACGUAGGGAAACUUACGCUAAUACCGCAUACGACCUACGGGUGAAAGCAGGGGAUCUUCGGACCUUGCGCGAUUGAAUGAGCCGAUGUCGGAUUAGCUAGUUGGCGGGGUAAAGGCCCACCAAGGCGACGAUCCGUAGCUGGUCUGAGAGGAUGAUCAGCCACACUAGAACUGAGACACGGUACAGACUACUACGGGAGGCAGCAGUGGGGAAUAUUGGACAAUGGGCGCAAGCCUGAUCCAGCCAUACCGCGUGGGUGAAGAAGGCCUUCGGGUUGUAAAGCCCUUUUGUUGGGAAAGAAAAGCAGCAGGUUAAUACCCCGCUGUUCUGACGGUACCCAAAGAAUAAGCACCGGCUAACUUCGUG
rnacentral:rRNA from 1 species